GAAGUCCGGCACGAGUGUGACGUUAUUUGCUAGUCAGCACGUAUUUCGGGGUGGUACGCGGCUAAAGCUAAGAUGCUAAACGAUGUAAUCCUCGAAGAAACCGAUGUUUUUCUUUCGCUUAGUUACGUGUUUUUUGUUUUCUACGUCGACGCGCAUGGUGACGAGUAGCAAUAAUAAGAAAAGGCGUAUUCUUUAACCGCUUUUGUGAAGGCCAAAAUAAAGAAGAAUGGAAGCGGUGAACGCGUUCAACAUGGAGUUGUUCUCCAUGAUUGACAUGAAGCCUCCGAUAUCUCGAGCGAAGAUGAUGUCUAUCACCAAGGCGGCCGUCAAAGCCAUCAAGCUCUACAAACAUGUGGUCCAGAUUGUUGAAAAGUUCAUCAAGAGGUGUAAACCCGAGCUGAAAGUUCCCGGCUUGUACGUGGUGGACUCCAUCGUACGGCAGUCGCGUCAUCAGUUUGGUGUGGACAAGGACGUCUUCGGGCCUCGCUUCUUGAAGAACUUCACUGACACCUUCCAGAAUCUUUACAACUGCCCGGAGGACGAUAAGAGCAAAAUUGUCCGCGUGUUGAACUUGUGGCAGAAGAACGGCGUGUUUGACAUGGACAUCAUUCAGCCUCUGAUGGACAUGGCGAAUAGCGUCCCGUCACCUGCGCCAUCAAUUGAGGAGCUGCAGCCUCCUCCCGCAGCAGCGGCCCCCGUCGCACCUCCAUCGCAGAUGCCGACUUCCGACGCCUUAGCCGCGGUGGCUCAGCUGUUCCAGUCCCCGCAUGGUCAGGAGCUCCAGAGGAUGCUUCACAGCUUGCAGCAGGCGGAAAGGAUCCACGCGGCCAGCGGCGCAAACGGGCCAAAUGCUCACCAGCUCAAUGCGGCCCGGCCCGAAAUGCUCAAUGCGCACAGUGGAGAAAGAGGCACCCUGGCCGAGAAACUGCUCAACAGGUUUGAGUAUGACGACGAGCCUGAAGAUGUCGCACCAAAUGACCCAGCCGACUCUCUAAACGUCUCCGGACAGUUGCACGACACGGAGAUGGUACAUCCACAUCCACUGGGACAGAAUGCAGGCAGCCUUGAGCAUGGCGGCGUGCCGAGUGAUGCCGAGCGUCACAUGUUGUCCGACGGAUUCUAUUCCAGAAGCGAGCCCCAGAACUCCAAAUCACAGGCGGAUUCAAGGGAGGAUCCAUCCACACAAAGAGACGGCAGACAUCGAGCCUCUGGCAGAAGAACAAGAUCUGGCUCCAUAUCUCCGAGGAGAAGACGGUCGCGAUCGUCAUCGCGCUCGAGAAGGCCAAGGUACCGACGCUCCAGAUCGCGCUCGAGAGAAGGCCGCUGGCGGCGCUCCCGUUCGCAGGACAGAAACGAGCGAGAGCGCGAUCGAGCGCGCCGGCAGAAAGGUCUCCCGAGCAUGAAGAGCCAGACUCUCAGUGUGUGCAGCACCACACUGUGGGUUGGUCAACUGGACAAAAAAACCCAGCAGUCGGACGUCAUCUCUCUCCUGGAGGAAUUUGGCCAAAUUGAGUCCGUCAACAUGAUUCCGCCAAGGGGUUGUGCGUACAUCGUGAUGGUCCACAGACUUGACGCCUACACGGCCUUGAACAAGCUCAGUCGGGGCUCGUACAAAGUCAAUCAGAAACCUGUGAAGAUUGCGUGGGCUUUAAACAAAGGCAUAAAGGUGGCGCACAAAAAGUUCUGGGACGUGGAGCGAGGAGUCACCUACAUCCCCUGGACCAAAGUGAAAGCCGAGGAGCUGGACAGCUAUCGAGCAGGCGGAAUGCUGGACCCGGACACGCUCAGCGAAGAGUGGAAAAGCGUUCUGGACCUAAACAAGCAUCCGAUGGCGGGCGUGAACGGCGCGUUGGAAAGCGCGCCGGCAGACGGGAGCGUCGAGGCUCAGAUUCAGGUAACGCUAAUGCAGUCUUUAAAAAUCUGUCCUUUUUCCUCCUCCUGCUGUUGUUUGUUUUUUUGUUGCUUAACGACCUCUUUUUUGGAGGCGCACUUCCAAAAAGCUCGUGGCGUGUUGGGGAAAAUAAAAUGUAGUCUCUCACAAGUAGUGGAGCGUAUGUGAAUCGGCUUCAUUCUUACGCACCGGAGUCACACGUGAUGUCUUCAGCAGCAAAUGUCCAGCACUGUCGCGUCCAUUCCAGUGGUCACACAAAUGCCACUUGAGACUGGUAACGAGGAACCGUGCGUUUGUUUGCGUGACGAGACUUAAAAGACUUUGCUGAGGCAUGUUCACAUGCAGAAAACAAUAUGACAGAAAUCUCUUUGGGGAAAUGUGUACAAACUUCACACAGAUGACUCCAUGCCACCCUAAGGUGCCUUUUAAGAUGUCUUCAUUUCACCCCCAAAACCUUUUCAGUUCAACUGGGAAUAUUCUUUGUCUUCGGCUGUUACAAGGUUAGAAACCAGAGUCGUCAACACCCCCCCGCACACCCCCUCCUUUUUUUUCUUAAUAUAAAGUAACUGCAAGAUGACAGAGUGGACAAUGACAGAGGGGGGAACGGCUGACUGUUAGGUUGAACGAUUGAUUUCGCUCCCGGUGUUUCAGAAUAAUGCCGUAGGUCAGGGGUGUCAAACUCCUCCAGCUUGUGGGCCACUUUGUAGUUGCGGCUUCCCUCCGAGGGCCGGGAUGACCAAAUGAAUGUUUCAGCGUAUUACGAAAUAUACCUGUACCAAACAAAUUGACGGAUGACUCGUUUUGAAGUCAGAGGUCAAGGAUAAUAGUUUGUUCAAGUUACGGUAGGAAGAGUAAUCUCAAUGUUACUUAGCACAGGUGAUAAUCUGAAAUUUUGGUACAGCUUUUAGCAAGGAUCUUAGAAGCGGACAUGAUUUUUUUUUGGGGCGACGUGGCGGACUGCAUCUGGCCCCUCAGGCCUUGAAUUUGCCAACUAUUUUAUUUUUUUUUUGUGAUCGGCCCUAAUUAACAAAUUUACAGUGUUUACGUAUAUACAUUAAUCUGUGGUGGGCUGCCACAAAUGUGUUUUGGCCACCUAUAUUACCGUUUUUCGGCCGUUUUUCCAUAACUGUGAGUUGAGCGUUAACAGCGAGUUUCCAUCUGUCGUCAAAUCAAUUUGCGCGGUUAGCAUCAUUGUGCUCUGUGGGACCGAGAGGGAAACGGCACCGCCCACUUCCAAUACCGGCCAGGACUGAACCCAAAAGGAGCAGGCUUUUAUAUUUAUCUGGUGAGCGUAUUGACGAGACUUGAUUAAAGCUGUUGGGCUGUCAACCAAGAUAGCUUUUAGCAGCCAUAUUCAAACUAAAAUAUAUACUUUUUCUCCCCCAUCUUUUUCCAUUUUCAAACAUUUUUUGAAAGCUCCAGGGAGCCACUAGGUGCCGUCUAAAGAGCCACAUGGGACUCCAGAGCCCCGGGUUGCUCACCCCUCGGUUUAGACCAAUGGGGGCACUUGCCCCCCAAAAUUUUGACUUGCGUUUUAAAAUCAGCAAACGUACUUCAGAAUACUUCGUGUUGGUCCUCCGGAAAUGGUACCUACAAAUAAAUAGACGUUGCUUCAUCGGAUCAUUUUUUUCUGGCCUCGCUGAUCCUGUCGUUGAACGGAAUUGCAGAAAGAAGUGGUCGGCCACAAAGGUGCAUGUAGAUGACGUGUGUCCAAUGAACUGCUUCAUCACCUCCUUUAAUUGGUGCGGCGGUCAUGGCUCUCAGACUUUUGAGCACGUCUUGGGUGGGGCGGGGGGGGGGGGCAGAUGAUGUCACAACAGUCUUUAGCUUUUGUCAAGUAUUCAAGGCUUUUUGCUGCCUGGGCAAAGUGAUGUAGAUGUGGAAUGGUCGACGCAGGUGACGUGCCAUACCGCUUUAUCCGAUGACACUUAAGGUUAGUGACCGUAUUACAUUUUUGCAUGUUCUAUUCCUGACGACGCCAACAUUUGGGUUUGCUCACUCGCUGAAAAGUGAUGCCAUGUAAUAAUUUGUUCUAAAGGAUUUUUGUGGACCUGAUAGCCAAGUGCUGCGUUCGUGCACUUGGGGAGCUCCCGUGUCUAAACAACAAUGAAGUUGAAUGACAUUCACAGUAUGUUAUUGAUGAACAUUAUUGCAGCAUCCGUCAAGAGCGGGUCACACAACACAAUUUCUUUUAGGGGGGGGGGGGGGGGGUACAACCUUACUUGCCAAAAACAUAAUGUUACCAAGGUGUGGGGGUGGUUUUCGUGAUGUCUCUAUCCCUAAAAAUUCAGAAAGUAUUAUCUUUGUAUUAAUGUAUAGUUUGGGUGGAAGUGGCCCUUGGACCGCAGCGAUGGCUUCUUGUUUCUAUAGACCGAUGAUGCGUGAGCUGGGGGGGGGGGGACUCGAUCGGCAGUCAGCUUAUGGCGAGGGCUUUUGUCAUGUUGGGUAAAUCGUCAACUCUUUUAUUAGAAAGUCAUCUAUGAAGUUGACAUACCACCGGUGGACCAACGCUUUGCCUGUUUCCCCGUUGGUCAAGACUGUCACUGUUGGCAGGUAAAAGAUUGUUUUGGAGGAGUGCAAACAAAAUUGGAAAAAAAGGUAAGCCGGCGGCAUUUCGGGAAUUCCCCAAAUCCAACCACUUGCAGACAGAAACUGGACUCGAGGAAUGAAACCCGUGAUAAAAUAGCGCCUUCAAAUUACGCGUGAAGCAGUCCACGUUCUUGCGAAUCGUGCUCGGUACUCUUCGUCCAAUUCUUAACUAUGGGCCGUGCCUUUCGUUAUAUCUUUUAAGCUAGCAUUCUAUUGGUAUUGUACUACAAAAUACAAUUACAGUACAAAGCCCCCUUUGGUCUCAUUCUAUUUACUCACAAAACCAUGCAGUCAAAUUUGCUGUUGGUCCUUAACUUUUGUGUCUCAUUUGUACGGUGACCGCCUUUUUAACUCAAAACACUCAAUAUCCUAAGUCAACUGUCCUCAAAGGAAUGGAAAUGGAGUUCACCAUUUAUCAAGCUACUGCUUCUUUUUUGAGUUGUUUGCUACCAGCAUUUACUGCUCGCAACUCUCAAGGAACGGCCGGAGCAAGCGCUCGUACGGCUCAUUCGUAAGUCAAGCUACCGAUUUUUAUUGGUUAUUUGUUUGUUUACUGCAUCUUUGUCAACUGAAGGGAGUGCUCACUGCUACAUUGUCAAAACUAAUAUCCCGGUCUACAAAUAUUUGCCUUCAAAGGUACCUUUGGGAGUCUGCAACUGUGCUAAAAAUUUAUGAAGUCAGCACAAGUUAAUGGGUGAGAGGAAAUGUGUAGGGGUCAUUUGGUGGGUGAGCUACGAUAAGGUACGAGUUUGAAAAAUCCUCCAUUAGCUAUCUGGACUCGCGCUGUGCUUUCAAGGCUUCCGCCUCAGCCUGUGCUCCACCUCUCUACAAAGUUCAGUGGACAUUUGUUGUUUUGGAGUCAAACAGGUAAUGCGCACACAAAAACCCAGAGCAAAAAAAAAAAAAAAACGGGGGGGGGGGGGGCGUUGAGUGAUACUCGGCUGAUCGACAAUGCCUCUAAAUUGUGUAUUUGUGUCAUUCGAAUCAUUUUUCACCAAGACUGCAGACUAUUUUUGAGGUAUUAUUUCAUGCAAGUGAACAAUUAUUAUUAUUAUUUUUUUUAAAGCGCGUAUCCUCACUACAGUGAUUAGGAGUCUUUCCCAAAUGACUUUGGGCAGGUGCGGGUCUGUCCGGUUUUGCCAGCCAAGCGCCAGGCACAUAUAGACCACGGCUCACAUUCACAUCUAAGCCAAAUGUAGCCUGUGUUAAAGCCAACAUGCAGGUUUUUGGAACGUGAAAGGAAGCUGGAAUACCCGGAGAGAACAUGCAAACGCCACACAGGAAGGGCCGGAGAUGGCAGUUGAAAGCCAGGACUGUUAGGAAGAUGUACUUAACCGGUAGACUACUCCAAGAAAUAAUUAGGGGGGUGAAAAAAAGUCUUUUCUCAUUUCAUUAACCUUUGUUGUACAAUAUUGUAUCCACAAAAAAACAAAACAAUUGUACACAUGCAAGCAAAGGAAACUGCGUUAAGGUGCUUUGCUCAACCAGACCUAUAUACCAUAUAGACCAGGGGUCCCCAAACUAUGGCUCGCGGGCCGGAUACGGCCCGUCAGCACAUUUGGCUCGGCCCUCUAACCCUCCUGUGGUCUUUAGGUCAAAAUGACCCACGACGCAAAUAGGGUUGAAAUCAAGGUCACAAAGUUAUUUACACACCAUAGAAUGGUUCAGUGUUUUAGUUGUGUCUCAGAUCAAUUAGUAGAACACGUUUACACGUUCUGUAAGGAACCUGGAAAGCGUUAUUUGGUUAUGUGUGGCUUUCUGGAAAACAAUAAAUUUUUUAAGCUCCCCUACGAUCGUCACACUUUUUCUGUUACAAACUGACACCGGCCCCCCGUUAGAGAAGGGAAAAGUUUGGGGACCCCUGAUAUAGACCAAUUUCAGCCAUAGCUAACCUUCCAAAGCAGGAAACUUGGUGAGACAAGCACAGGUUGAACAUCACAAUUGCGUCCCUGUCGCUGAACUGGCACGUCAACCGCGUCCUGAGCAGUAGAAGCGCAGAGGAGGCUGCUGUAGAAGGAAGGCACAAAAUGUGUACCCCAGCUCCCCCCCUGUAAGUACAAGUCGGCUUUAGUUCCAUUCUUGUCCAGCCUUUUGUGCUUACUCGGUUGUUGACUUAGCCAAAUGAAAUUCAGAAGUCAUAAAAUUCAAGACCUGAAAUAACUUUGCUAAUCAAAACUGGUUUUGCUGGGGUUUUUUUUUUUCGUGGUACAGCAGCCAAAGCAAAACAAAAUGGCCAAGGUUCAAACAGUUGAGCUGCAGUCUUGCCGGCGUCGCCAGAUUCCCGAAGGGCACCAAACGGCAAGUUGGUCUCGUCCGGUGGCUUUGGUCGAGCGGGCUGACCAGUGGCCAAAAGGUCAACUACUGGAAUCUUGGCUGUUUUCUUUUGUGUGUGUGGCUGCUGCUGAUCAACACGAAAACACAAAACCACACUGGUCUCUGCUGUUCAAAUCAAAAUGCAAAAGCAUGUCGCCCCCCCCCCCCCAAAAAAAACACUGUCUGCUUUUGACCCUCUUUUGCGUCCCGACCCACUGGUAUAAACUGACAUUGUUACAAAAUGUUUUCCUCCUGUUCCGGUAAUACAAAUUCAGUUUCUGUUGCCCUAGCAACAAUAACGGGAAGCUGUGAUGUAGUAGUCACUCAAAACUAAGACAUUUAAAAAAAGAAUGAUAGCUUGGUUCAAUGUGUGGAGAAUUGUCAAAGUGGCCCUUGAGUCCUUUGAUUUUUCUCCAUGCGCCCUGCGUGGUAACACAUUUUAGUCAACUUGGAAGAACCUCCGAUAGGUGAGUUUGCGAACCUCGAAACAAAUACUGUCAGACACUUGAAAGAGGUGGCGGGGGGGUUGUGGGCAUUGAUUUAAUUAUGAUCUAAAAGCUGGAGGUGAGUUUGUUGUGCAGCUGCCUGGUUGAAUGAGCAAAAAUACAAAGGAAUAACAUUGAAGCAUCGUUGGGGUGUCGAUGAAAGAAGGGAUGCCCCGGCCGGCCCGGCUCGUUGGAUUAACGAGGAGCUGCCGCUGAUGGGAUGAGAGAAGUCUGGUAAGAGCCGACACGGCGUGAAAGCUGAUUUGACUUCACAUCUGUUUUGUGAGAGAGAAGUCUCUCUGCGUUCCCCCAAAACUUAGCUGUGGAUGUCAAGUGUACAUAUUUGCUGCUCCGGGAUUUUGCCUGUGACCAAUGACGAGCGUCGUUAAAAGCCAUACGGAAUCCCCUUUUUAACCCUUCCGUUAUGAUGAAAGUCAUAGUGACGCAUUUUUGUGAUUGAUGGGUCCGGGGAGGG